GACGAACGCUGGCGGCGUGCUUAACACAUGCAAGUCGAACGGAAAGGCCCUGCUUUUGUGGGGUGCUCGAGUGGCGAACGGGUGAGUAACACGUGAGUAACCUGCCCUUGACUUUGGGAUAACUUCAGGAAACUGGGGCUAAUACCGGAUAGGAGCUCCUGCUGCAUGGUGGGGGUUGGAAAGUUUCGGCGGUUGGGGAUGGACUCGCGGCUUAUCAGCUUGUUGGUGGGGUAGUGGCUUACCAAGGCUUUGACGGGUAGCCGGCCUGAGAGGGUGACCGGCCACAUUGGGACUGAGAUGCGGCCCAGACUCCUACGGGAGGCAGCAGUGGAGAAUAUUGCACGAUGGGCGGAAGCCUGAUGCAGCAACGCCGCGUGCGGGAUGACGGCCUUCGGGUUGUAAACCGCUUUCGCCUGUGACGAAGCGUGAGUGACGGUAAUGGGUAAAGAAGCACCGGCUAACUACGUG
rnacentral:rRNA from 1 species